rnacentral:rRNA from 1 species
UACGUAGGGUGCGAGCGUUGUCCGGAAUUAUUGGGCGUAAAGAGCUCGUAGGCGGUCUGUCGCGUCGGUCGUGAAAACUUGGGGCUUAACCCUGAGCUUGCGGUCGAUACGGGCAUGACUGGAGUUCGGCAGGGGAGACUGGAAUUCCUGGUGUAGCGGUGAAAUGCGCAGAUAUCAGGAGGAACACCGGUGGCGAAGGCGGGUCUCUGGGCCGACAU